rnacentral:SRP_RNA from 1 species
GGCAGCAUGGUACACACAUGUAGUCCCAUCCACUCUGGAGCCUGAGGCAGGAGAUUGCUUGAGUCCAGGAAUUCUGGGCUAUAGUGAGUUAUGAUGAUCAGGUGCCCGCACUAAGUUUAGUAAAAAUAUAGUGUACCCCUGGGAGCAUGGGACCACCAGGUUGCCGGGGGAGACAUGAACCAGCCCAGGUCAGAAGCAGAAAAGGUCAAAACUUCCAUGGUGAUCAUUGAUGGGAUUAAGCCUGGGAAUAGCCACUGCACUCCAGCCUGGCCAACACAGCUGAGACCCUGCCUCU